UACGAAGGGGGCUAGCGUUGUUCGGAAUUACUGGGCGUAAAGCGCACGUAGGCGGACUAUUAAGUCAGGGGUGAAAUCCCGGGGCUCAACCCCGGAACUGCCUUUGAUACUGGUAGUCUCGAGUCCGAAGAGGUGAGUGGAAUUCCGAGUGGUAGAGGUGAAAUUCGUAGAUAUUCGGAGGAACACCAGUGGCGAAGGCGGCUCACUGGUCCGGUACUGACGCUGAGGUGCGAAAGCGUGGGGAGCAAACAGGGAUUAAGAAACCCC
rnacentral:rRNA from 1 species